CUAAUCUAUUAUUUAAAAACAUCAUGUAUUUUAGCAACCUACCAAUUGUGUUUAUGUAAAUACAUACUAUAAAUUUUAUAAAUCAAAAUCAAAUUAAUUGAAAUCCACAUUAUUUAUUCAGAAAAUUAAAAAAGUAACUGCAAACUUUAAAUACUUGAUUUGAAAAGUAAAAAUGCAAAAAAUAAAAGCUAAUAUUUGUUUUUUUUUCAAAAAUGAUAAUACUUGGUAGAGUCAGAAAAUGUUUAUCUCAAUGUUCUUUACUUGACCCCUACAGAUUUAUUUUUAUAAAUGAUUUUGAAAGGCUUACGUUUUGGCAAUAACAAAAUUCAAGUAAUCAAAUAAAGACAACAGUUUUAUAUACUUUCCAUGCUAAUAUAUUUUGGUUGUAUUUUUGAAUGGCAUGGCUUAAAAAAUUAUUUUUCCAUCCUAACUUUCAGNUAUUCUACAUAUUGCAUGUUUCUUGGCUUUUUACAUUUUUGUAGAUCUCAUAGUAACUCCAUACCUCUGCAUUGUCUUUUACAGUUUAUGAUUCAUAUAAAAAUAUCAAGUCAUAUGAUGUUCAGUAACUUAGCAUUGUACUCUGCAGUCUCCUCAAAGGGGGAGAAAAUAUUAUUUGGAGAUAAGCAAUUAGCUAUUUUAGAUAUUUAGAUACCCAAACAUCAUUCUACAGUCUCACUUUCUCUUACUGAGACAAAUUGUUCCCUAGUUCUGCAUCCAUAACAGCACCAGUAAGAACAUUAAUAAUCAUUAGGUAUUGCCUCAAUAGGAAUUGGGAAAUAAUUUAGUGGGAUUUUAACUUGCAUGAAGACCAACUGUUAGUAACUCAUUUCACAAUGGAUCCUCAGGGUCUGAGAGAGAACUACUAAUACAAAAAUGAUCACUUAUCUUCUGGUAUGCUCCUUUUUCUGGGGUGAGUUCAAAAAUAAAAAGCUCAGAAAGCAAAACUGAUGUAGCAGUCCAGCCUUAUUUAACAUAGAAUACAAUAUGAUGCAACACAAGAGCUCUGAUUUGUUCAUUACCAUAAACAUGUUAGGAACCAUACAAAUCCAGUUUGGGGAAUUUUUAUGCUAAUAUUCAUUUGUUUUAGAAUAAUUUUUUGCCUUAGACUUUUUAGAUUUCAAAACGUCAAAAAUUUAGUGUAAGUCUACAGUGAAAUGAUGGUAUCCACCAACAUGUGAGGAAGUUCCCCUCCCCCUCAAAAUUAUAUCUCUUCCUAAGAGUGUUAGUUGUAGAGCAAAUGAUUAAACAGAAACAUAUUCUCAUUUAACAACAUUCCUUUUCUUUUCUUCCUUCAAUGCUCUUCUCUUUCUUCCUUUUGUAGUAAAGUGAUCUACUCAACACAGCCUAUCUUUGGUGUUUUUUAACUUGGUAAUGGAAAGGUCAUGGCAUCUGGUCC
rnacentral:lncRNA from 1 species